UCUAAUGUGGCAGAGAUCUAAUGCAAUGAGCUUAAAAUUCAUAUAUAAAUAAAUUUAAUUUCUUUAGAA
rnacentral:tRNA from 1 species